rnacentral:rRNA from 1 species
UACGUAGGGGCGAGCGUUAUCCGGAAUUACUGGGCGUAAAGGGUGCGUAGGCGGUCUUUCAAGCCAGAAGUGAAAGGCUACGGCUCAACCGUAGUAAGCUUUUGGAACUGUAAGACUUGAGUGCAGGAGAGGAGAGUGGAAUUCCUAGUGUAGCGGUGAAAUGCGUAGAGAUCGGGAGGAACACCAGUGGCGAAGGCGGGUAACUGGACUGCAACUGACGCUGAGGCGCGAAGGUGUGGGGAGCAAACAGGAUUAGAUACCCUGGUAGUCCCUGA